CUCCCACCCUGCCGGGCGGCCUCUGAUUGGUGGAAGUGAGGCAAGGCUGGGCUCCGUCUCUCCCCCCGCCCGCUAGUAGGCUGGAGCCGGGGUCAGCUUUGGCACCUUCCUCCAGUCAGUGGCCAACUCCUGGCUCAGUGGGGAUUGUGCUCGUCCCCUCCGUUCCCCUCCAGUCUUCCUCCCGCUACCGGAACGAGCCUCGCGCUUGGCAGGCUGAGGAGGAGCAAAGAAAGCAGGAUUAAAGAGAAGGAAGACCUGGCUAGGUCUGGGUGGCGUCUGCAGUGCCAGAAAGGGAGGCGGUGGCGGCGGCGGCUGCGACCACGGCCGCGCGGGACGUGAGGCCCGAGAGCAACCGACGGGCAGCGGCGGC
rnacentral:lncRNA from 10 species